AUAGAUAGAUAGAUAGAUAGAUAGAUAGAUAGAUAGAUAGAUAGAUAGGCGUUGUGUUGACAAACUUACUUUUUUCUUUUUUAAGCUGAUUUAUCAUUUAUUUUACAAACUCAUACUGGCAGCAGGUCACGUGAAGAAUGAGAAGGGUCUCGUGCCAUAUUUAAAUCAGCUUCCGUCGGCCAGUAGAAGUCUAGCGCGAGCCUGUGUGUGUGCGCGUGUGUGUGUGUCGUGACGCAGCCGCACGCGCAGCUGGACAUCAGAGAGGAUCAAAGCGUCUGUGCUUGUGUCCCGUUAAGCUCAGUGAACACACAUACAGUAUUUUUGUGUUUUUCCUCUUUCUUCGUUUCUGAUCUGUGACCGGUGAAGGAAUGAUUUCAGCACCGCGGACAGCAACAAAACUCCCGUACUGCCACGAGUCUUUUCAUAAUCUCCAGGAGCUGAGACAUAGUGCGUCUUUGGCCAACAAGGUCUUCAUUCAGCGAGACUACACAGACGGCACCGUCUGCAAGUUUCAGACCAAGUUUCCUUCAGAGUUAGACAGCAGGAUUGAAAGGACACUGUUUGAGGACACGGUGAAGACGCUGAAUAAUUACUAUGCUGAGGCGGAAAAGAUCGGAGGACAGUCCUAUCUCGAGGGCUGCCUCGCUUGCCUCACGGUUUACCUCAUCUUCCUGUGCAUUGAGACACAAUAUGAAAAGGUACGUGUGUUCAGGUUAGGAAUGCCCACAAUCUGUGUACUGAUUCAUAAUGCACUGUAUGCCUGUAUUUUAUUGGGGUAUAACUGUGUUGUUGGUCACUUCAGAAGACCAGUUUGAGCUCAUCUCGUGUUUAUUUGUAUGCGAGCAGGUGCUGAAGAAAGAUCUCGCGGUACAUUCAGGAGCAGAAUGAGAAGAUCUACGCUCCUCGAGGUUUACUCAUCACCGACCCUAUAGAAAGAGGCAUGCGAGUCAUUGAAAUAAGUGUGUAUGAGGAUCGUGGAUCGAGCGGUUCGAGCUCAGGCAGCAGCACAACUAGCAGCAGCGGACGAUAAUUCACACACAAAUGCGCACUGUAAUCCUCACCCUUCCUCAUGUGUUCUCGUGGCCCAUGUCUGCCUUCAUACUGAUGCUCGUUGAAACAUCAGCAUCGCCAAACCGAAACUGCACUGAGACACGUCACAUCAGCUGUAUCCAACACACCAUUACCUCAGACCUGUACUUCAUCAGGACAGAUGUUACCAUCGUAAUAACAUCUCUACGUGAUCUUCCAGCACCUUCAGACCUCUACAGUUGUUGCACACAUCUAAGUCAUAUACUGUAGCAUUCUGGGUAAAGUUGACAUUAACUUCCACCCCCUGUGAUAUGCAACUUCAACCCUGCCGUGUGAUGUAGCAUGCAAGAGUCUUCCAUUGUACUUUAAUAUUGUUUUUUAUUUUUGACCUUUUGUUUUUAUGUGUUUGGAGAUGAGCAUUCUUACUUAAUUUUUUUUGGAAAAUAUUACAUUUGGUAAUUAAAGAAAGAACAAGAUGAGUGUGGCCAUGCCUACAGUAGAUAUUUUAUAAAGGCUUCACACACUGCCAUCUGAUAGCAUUUGGGUUAUGUAUGACUUUACAUCUAUUUUAUAUUGUGGUGUAGAAACCAUUAGCUUUAUACUCAUAACAAUAGAGCGAAAAAGUGAACACUUCACUGCCAAGGCAUUUACCUUCAUUGUGAGCUUCCAUUUCUUAUUGAGAACAUUUGGCCUUUAUUUAUGCAAAGAGAAGUUAACUCGAAAUAAUUAUGAGUGCUUUUUCUGUUGCGUAACAAAGUGAAUAAAUGAACAACGAAUAAAUAAUUUAACUCAAA